GUGGUUAAGCGUCAAAGAGCGCACGGUGGAUGCCUUGGCACCAGGAGCCGAUGAAGGACGGAACGAACUCCGAUAAGCUUCGGGGAGCUGUAA
rnacentral:rRNA from 1 species